rnacentral:rRNA from 1 species
AGCGAACGCUGGCGGUAGGCCUAACACAUGCAAGUCGAACGGCAGCACCGUAAUUGCUUGCUCUUACGGGUGGCGAGUGGCGGACGGGUGAUUUAUACACCGGAAUCUACUUUUUCGUGGGUGCUAAUGUAGGGAGACUUCCUCUAAUACCGCAUACGACCUCCUGGUGACAGCAGGGGAUCUUCGGACCUUUCGCGAUUGAAUGAGCCGAUGUCGGAUUAGCUAGUUGGCGGGGUAAAGGCGCACCAAGGCGACGAUCGGUACCUGGUCUGAGAGGAUGAUCAGCCACACUGGAAGUGAGGCACGGUAGCGACUCUGAGGCGAGGCAGCAGCCGAGAAUAUUACACAAUGGGGGAGAGCGUGAUCCAGCCAUACGGCGUAGGUGAAGAAGGACUUAGGGUGGUUGAGCCCUUUUGUUGGGAAAGAAAAGCAGCUGGUUAAUACCGCGCUGUACUGACGGUACCCAAAGAAUAAGCACCGGCUAACUUCGUG